UACGUAGGUGGCAAGCGUUAUCCGGAUUUAUUGGGCGUAAAGGGAACGCAGGCGGUCUUUUAAGUCUGAUGUGAAAGCCUUCGGCUCAACCAUUGUGUGCAUUGGAAACUGGUAGACUUGAGUGCAGGAGAGGAGAGUGGAAUUCCAUGUGUAGCGGUGAAAUGCGUAGAUAUAUGGAGGAACACCGGUGGCGAAAGCGGCUCUCUGGCCUGUAACUGACACUGAGGCUCGAAAGCGUGGGGAGCAAACAGG
rnacentral:rRNA from 1 species